AGACUGCUGGUGUGAGAGACAUGUAAACAAACAUGGCAGAGAACUCCACCACAUGCAUACAAGGACUGCUGGUUGCAGUUGAAGAAAAUACAUGUAAUUGUUAGAAUGUGUGUUUUAGAAUAGAUCCUCUUAUCACAUAAAAUAAGGCUGGGCUUGUUUAAAUGUGAAUACUAUAGGAAAAAUCAAAACCUGAUUUUUUAGAACUCUUAGAAAAUUUCUCCUGACAGAAUUAAGCUGAAGAGAAUGACCAAGUAAACAAUGGUCUGAAAAGAAAUGUUAGAGUAGUUACAGUAUGUGGGUAUUUGUUUGUGCUAUAAAUCUUUUACCAAUUUAUUAUGUUAUUGGAAUAAUUGUUUAAAACUCAGUGCCUUAAAUCCUGAUUGCCAAAAGGCACCAGUUAUUUUGCCUUUUCCUAGGAAGGGCACUUGAAAUGUAGAUGUAUAGAAAUAUGGGGGAAAAAUAGAGAGAAAAAUGAAUUCAUGGUGAAUAGAAAAUUUAAAACUACAUUUGAAACACAUUUCCAGUAUCACACGAAAAUUUGCACUUUCAUAAUUAAUGAAUGGCCUUUCCUUCCUUGUCCCUGAUUUUAGUUCGUUGCAGCAAAUGAACAAAAGAACAAAUAACCUGAAGUCAGCAAAGCCAACACAGCAGCUUCCAUAAAACCCUUUGCCAAACUGAUUAGAUUUGCAAUUCACUCACUAAGCCUGCCUGGUCAUGGCAGCAUCAUGCAAUGAAUCUUUUCAUUGAAUAAAACUGGAAUUGCAGAGAACUGAUUUUUUUUUUUUUUUGUAUGAAUACUUCUGUAGUGCUUGUUUAAACAUGAAAUUGUUCCUGAUUAACUCAUGCGUGAGCAGCUUACUCUUAAAAAUCUUCCUGUUAAGCUUAAUGUAGUUGUUUAAUAAUUAAACAGAAGCGGUUAAUUGGAAAAUAGUGCACACAUAGGCAAUCCUCAGUCUUUUUCCUCUGGAUGUAAAUGGUUAGUGGCUGGCUAAAGAAGUGGUAUCUUAAAAAAAAUCCUUGGAUAACAGGUUUUCUUAAUUUGUUGAUUUUUGUAAUUUGUGGGACUAAAUAAGAAAGAGAAAGUAUCUGAUAGUUUUUGCAUGUAAAAUAGCAUUCAAGUAGAUUGGCAUGAAGGUAGAAGAAUCCUUUGUUUCUAUCUAAUAACUUAUGGAGCUCCAGAAACUAAUGGUUGCAUUGCUCGGCAGGGAGCUUAUGAGAACUACAGCGUGUCCUCAGCCUCCACAUAACUGCUAUUCACAUCCAGGCAGAGCAGGGAGAGAGAACAACCUGGUUUUCAUUCAGGUAGUAGCUCAGAUUGUGGGUGGACUGGGCUUUUACAGACUUUAUUUAGGAUUAUUUUUUUACAGCCUUUGCAUAA
rnacentral:lncRNA from 1 species